UGGGGAAUUUUGGACAAUGGGCGAAAGCCUGAUCCAGCAAUGCCGCGUGUGUGAAGAAGGCCUUCGGGUUGUAAAGCACUUUUGUCCGGAAAGAAAUCCUUGGCUCUAAUACAGUCGGGGGAUGACGGUACCGGAAGAAUAAGCACCGGCUAACUACGUGCCAGCAGCCGCGGUAAUACGUAGGGUGCAAGCGUUAAUCGGAAUUACUGGGCGUAAAGCGUGCGCAGGCGGUUUGCUAAGACCGAUGUGAAAUCCCCGGGCUCAACCUGGGAACUGCAUUGGUGACUGGCAGGCUAGAGUAUGGCAGAGGGGGGUAGAAUUCCACGUGUAGCAGUGAAAUGCGUAGAGAUGUGGAGGAAUACCGAUGGCGAAGGCAGCCCCCUGGGCCAAGUACUGACGCUCAUGCACGAAAGCGUGGGGAGCAAACAGGAUUAGAUACCCUGGUAGUCCCACGCCCUAAACGAUGUCAACUAGUUGUUGGGGAUUCAUUUCCUUAGUAACGUAGCUAACGCGUGAAGUUGACCGCCUGGGGAGUACGGUCGCAAGAUUAAAACUCAAAUGAAUUGACGGGGUCAUA
rnacentral:rRNA from 1 species